ACCUCAAAUCAGGUAAGAAUACCCGCUGAACUUAAGCAUAUCAAUAAGCGGAGGAAAAGAAAAUAACAAUGAUUCCCUCAGUAACGGCGAGCGAAGAGGGAUAAGCUCAAAUUUUAAAUCUGUUGGGUUUCACCUAACAGAGUUGUAUUUUGAAGAAACGUUUUCUGCGUCCAGGAUUAGCCUAAAUCCUUUGGGAUAAGGUAUCAUGGAGGGUGAGAAUCCCGUUCAUGGUUAAUCUUAAGGAUGCUCUACGAUACGUUCUCCAAGAGUCGAGUUGUUUGGGAUUGCAGCUCAAAAUGGGAGGUAAAUUUCUCCUAAGGCUAAAUAUUGGCGAGAGACCGAUAGCGAACAAGUACCGUGAGGGAAAGAUGAAAAGAACUUUGAAAAGAGAGUUAAACAGUACGUGAAAUUGUUGAAAGGGAAACGAUUGAAGUCAGUCAUACCAACGGGAAAUCAACCUUUUGAGUUUGGUCUCGUGGGUUUUGAAGAGUUUUUAAAAGCCUUCGGAUUUUCGAGAUUGGGUUCUUCUGGUGUACUUUCUCGUACGGUUAGUCAACAUCGGUUUUGAAUGUCAUAAAAUGACUGGAGGAAUGUGGCUUCGAUCUCGUAUUGAAGUGUUAUAGCCUUUGGUAGAUGUGAUGUUCGAGACCGAGGAUUGCAACGGAUACCCUUCUGGGCUAUUCGUCUGAUCUCUGAAACGUUGCCUUGAUGUCGAAAGCUUGCUUAUGAUGUUAGGGUAUUACGGUCAAAAGGUUAGAACGGAUUAAAUUCGUUAAGGAUGUUGACGUAAUGACUUUAAACGACCCGUCUUGAAACACGGACCA
rnacentral:rRNA from 1 species